rnacentral:rRNA from 1 species
CACAUUGUCAACAGCACGUUGAAUACACUACUUUCCAACAAUCCCAAUGGAUCACUGAAGUUAAGCAACGUUGCGCGUGGUUAGUAUCCGGAUGGGUGACCAUCUGGGCAAUCGGGUGCUGCUGGCU